GGAUUUUACAGCACCACCACCCAGCCUCCCAGAACCACAAGUGACAGCACCACCCCCCGUGAUCCCCCCAGAACAACAGAUGACAGAACCACAACCAGUGAUCCCAUGAUGACAACAGAUUACAGGUAGUCA